rnacentral:rRNA from 1 species
CCUACGGGUGGCAGCAGUGGGGGAUAUUGCACAAUGGGGGAAACCCUGAUGCAGCGACGCCGCGUGUGGGAAGACGGUCCUCUGGAUUGUAAACCACUGUCCCCAGGGACGAAGAUGACGGUACCUGGGGAGGAAGCUCCGGCUAACUACGUGCCAGGAGCCGCGGUAAUACGUAGGGAGCAAGCUUUGUCCGGAAUUACUGGGUGUAAAGGGAGCGUAGGCGGGAUGGCAAGUUGGGUGUUAAAUCUACCGGCUCAACUUGUAGUCGCCCUCAAAACUGGGAUUCUUGAGUGAAGUAGAGGCAGGCGGAAUGCCUAGUGUAGCGGUGAAAUGCGUAGAUAUUAGGAGGAACACCAGUGGCGAAGGCGGCCUGCUGGGCUUUUACUGACGCUGAGGCUCGAAAGUGUGGGGAGCAAACAGGAUUAGAGACCCUAGUAGUC